GUGCUUGCUUCAGCAGCAUGUAUACUAAUAUUGGAAUGAUACAGAGAAGAUUGAUGGCCAUGGCCUCUGUGCGUGGAUGACAUAAAAAUUUGUGAAGCAUUCGGUAUUUUU